GAGAGAUUGAUUGAUAAGACCAGACGUAUGCGAGGGUUCCUACACGGUUCUCUCUCUCUCUCUCCCCCAUGUCUAUAUAAACCUUUCAUUCUCUCUCAAGGUUGCCUCAGCUCCUCAGAAUUCAACUUUUUCAAUUUCGUUCAGACUGUGUUAGCUGUUAAUCACUCUGUAUCAAGUUCAUCUUCAACCAACCAACCACCCUUCUGCUUUCGUUCUUCCAUCGCUUUCUGCUUUCCUUCCUUCGGCCUCUCCAAAUCCCAAAGCUUAACACAAGCAAUGGAAGCAGCUUUUCCUUGCCAGAAUAUCGAGGACAGUCUUCUCGUCGCCCAACAAGUUCUUGACAUUUUGGACGAACCCGACUGCUUUCCUCGACUCUACCCACCUCAAUGUCAAUCUCCUGACCAGAAACCUGCAAAGGUUGCUGUUGGUAGGAGCAACAAGGAGACCUCCUGUGUGACCUAUAGACACAGCACGGAUUCUUCUUCCGUCGUUGAUAACAGGCCUGAAAGCGGCGAACAGGUUACUCAGAAGGUGGUUCCCAUGGCGAAGAGGAGGAAAACCAGAGACGGCUCUUCCGUUACUUCUCUUCAAUCUGCGGACGCUGUGGAAGCGAAGGGCAAGAGGCUGAAGAAAGGCAAUGAUGUGAUCAAAGACGAGAACGAGAAGAAGGGUAGAGCUGGGAAUAGAAAGAAGGAAGAAAAGAAGCUUCCUGAAGAACCCCCAACAGGCUACAUUCAUGUAAGAGCCAGGAGGGGCCAAGCAACAGACAGCCAUAGCCUUGCAGAGAGGGUGAGAAGGGAGAAAAUAAGUGAAAGGAUGAAGCUGUUGCAAUCUCUGGUUCCAGGCUGUGACAAGGUUACUGGCAAGGCCCACAUGUUGGAUGAGAUAAUCAACUAUGUCCAAUCCCUUCAAAAUCAAGUGGAGUUUCUGUCUAUGAAGCUUGCUUCUGUGAAUCCCAUGUCCUAUGACUUUGGAGUGGACUUAGAGGCCUCCAUGGUGACACCUGAGAGAUUGGAUAGCUUGGUAUCACCACAAUGCAACCCUGCCCAGCCCACUGCUUUUUCUGGAGCAGCAGCCACCUUCACCAACUCGCCAUGUAUCUAUCCUCCUCUGGACAGCACAUUCUCACUUCUGCUUGAUCAACAAAUGCACAGGCCAGGGCUGCUCCCUCAGGGAAAUGGACAGCUCUUGUGGGAUGCGGAUGAUGACCAGAGACAAAAACGUAUCAAUCAAUCUGGUUUCAACAGCAAUUGCUUGUGUUCUUUUCCUUUGGUGUAAUUCCAGAUUACAGCUGCCACACAACCAUUUGGUAAGCCCUAAAAUUGCCAUCUCAUUUAAUAUACCCAAUCAUACCAAUAAUAAUAAUUUUUACCUUCCUUGUUUUCUGUAUUUCCAUUUCCGCCCAUCUAGUUUGGGAGUUCCUCAGUCAUACCCUAAGGAAAACUGGCAGCAACAAAAGUAGAGAGAAUAGAGGGUCAGAAAGGGGGCAUGAAAUUAGUGUCAAAGGUUAAUUAUUCCUUAGUAUCAACAACAAAAAAAGGUGGAGGAUUUAGUACCUCAAACUCAAAGCCCUGAUUCUAAGUGCAGUGCAGUGCAGUGGAUGGGGAGCAAUUAAAGCAAUGGCUUAACAUCAGAGAGAGGACAGAGCACACUUGACAACAUCUUUUGCAGUUGCAGAUGCAGAUCCCUGUGUUGCCGUCCUAUUUGACUCCACAACCCUCUCACUCAUUGCAGGCACAUAUUCCUAUAGCUAUAUAUAUAUAUAUUUGUAAAAUUAAUGUGUAAGUAAAGACUUGUAAUUUCUAAUGUCCCUUUCAUUCUUUUCAUUUACAUUACCAGGAGGAAUCUCUUGUUGGUUUUACAGGUGGGUUUUCCUUUUCUGUGUGGCUCUGCAUCACUGUACCAGUAAUUGUUUCGACCCUUCACGACAAUGAACUGAAUGUUGAUAUGUUAUCCAUGUAAUUUUGAAUUAUUUUUAUUUAUAAUA